GGGGCCAGAGCCGCGGCAGAGGCAGAGGAGGGAGCUAGGAGGUGAGACCCGCUCCACCCUGCUCGCCUAGGCUCGGCGGAGGCUAAGAGCAGGGCAGCCUCCUCUGCCCGGCGCCCGCUGAGCCCCGGCAUCUGGAACUCAGGGCCCUGGCGCUCCAGGGGCGGGAACUGGCCGGGAGGACCGCGCGGGAGAGCACGGAUGGGCACCCUGGGCUCGAUCUUCUCACCUGGGGCGGGUGGGUUCUGCACCACCCUCCCACCCUCCUUCCUCCGUGUGGACGAUAGAGCCACAUCCAGCACCACGGACAGCUCCCGGGCGCCUUCAUCUCCUCGUCCUCCAGGCAGCACAAGCCAUUGUGGAAUCUCCACCAGGUGUACAGAACGGUGCCUCUGCGUCCUGCCACUCAGGACCUCUCAAGUCCCCGAUGUGAUGGCUCCUCAGCAUGAUCAGGAGAAAUUCCAUGAUCUUGCUUAUUCCUGUCUUGGGAAGUCCUUCUCCAUGUCUAACCAAGAUCUAUAUGGCUAUAGCACCAGCUCUUUGGCUCUUGGCUUGGCAUGGCUAAGUUGGGAGACCAAAAAGAAGAAUGUACUUCAUCUGGUUGGGCUGGAUUCCCUCUGAUAAGCCUUCCCAGUUGACUGAAAGAUGAGGCUAGGCUCUAGCAAGUUGAAGUCAAACCAGCUCCUUCAAGAAGCUUUGAGCAGAAUGAAGUGGGGAGGACCCAGCUUCCAGCCCAGGAAGCCCACUGUACCUGGAGCCAUCUGGGAUAAGACUUUGACCCAUGACUCCCAUAUCCACAGCCUGUCCAUCCUAGCCCAUCCCAGUUUAUCCUGUAUCAUUUGAGCUGGGAUUCCCACAUCCUCUGAGUUGGAAGUCCCAUCUCAAGUCUUCAAUAAAGACUCUUGAAUAUUGAAUCACAUUAA
rnacentral:lncRNA from 1 species